rnacentral:rRNA from 1 species
GAUGAACGCUAGCUACAGGCUUAACACAUGCAAGUCGAGGGGUAACGAGAGGAAAGCUUGCUUUCCUUGUCGACGACCGGCGCACGGGUGAGUAACGCGUAUCCAACCUGCCCCCAACUAGGGAAUAACCUUGCGAAAGUGAGACUAAUACCCUAUAAUUUCCACAGAUGCCAUCUGACGAGGAAUAAAGAUUUAUCGGUUGUGGAUGGGGAUGCGUCUGAUUAGCUUGUUGGCGGGGUAACGGCCCACCAAGGCAACGAUCAGUAGGGGUUCUGAGAGGAAGGUCCCCCACAUUGGAACUGAGACACGGUCCAAACUCCUACGGGAGGCAGCAGUGAGGAAUAUUGGUCAAUGGGCGGAAGCCUGAACCAGCCAAGUAGCGUGCAGGAUGACGGCCCAAUGGGUUGUAAACUGCUUUUAUACAGGAAUAAAGUUAGCCACGUGUGGUUAUUUGUAGGUACUGUAUGAAUAAGGACCGGCUAAUUCCGUGCCAGCCGCCGCGGUAA